AGUGAACGCUGGCGGUAGGCCUAACACAUGCAAGUCGAACGGCAGCACAGUAAGAGCUUGCUCUUACGGGUGGCGAGUGGCGGACGGGUGAGGCAUACAUCGGAAUCUACUUUUUCGUGGGGGAUAACGUAGGGAAACUUACGCUAAUACCGCAUACGACCUACGGGUGAAAGCAGGGGAUCUUCGGACCUUGCGCGAUUGAAUGAGCCGAUGUCGGAUUAGCUAGUUGGCGGGGUAAAGGCCCACCAAGGCGACGAUCCGUAGCUGGUCUGAGAGGAUGAUCAGCCACACUGGAACUGAGACACGGUCCAGACUCCUACGGGAGGCAGCAGUGGGGAAUAUUGGACAAUGGGCGAAAGCCUGAUCCAGCCAUACCGCGUGGGUGAAGAAGGUCUUCGGGUUGUAAAGCCCUUUUGUUGGGAAAGAAAAGCAGCAGGUUAAUACCCCGCUGUUCUGACGGUACCCAAAGAAUAAGCACCGGCUAACUUCGUG
rnacentral:rRNA from 1 species